CGCGGGGUGGAGCAGUGGUAGCUCGUCGGGCUCAUAACCCGAAGGUCACAGGUUCGAAUCCUGUCCCCGCUACUA
rnacentral:tRNA from 1 species